CCCAAAUUCAUGGCACUCACUUCGAGCAGGAUAAUGGGGCAUCACUGGUGUUUGGUCAGGCCUUUUCUGAUUCCUAGAUAAUUCAUGGAUGCUGGCUGGAGGGGAACUACUAUGUCAUUGCUUUUCCUCCCACAUCCAGUCCGCCUCUCACCCUCACUUGGCUCUUCCUAAUUUUCCUUCAGCCCCAAGAAUUGUCUUUCCUCCUGGAAAUUAGAAUUCUCAGCUGGCUCCUUUUAUCAGAGAGAGCUUUGGUCAUGGGCCCUGAGUGCUUAAGAUCCAUCUCCCUGCCUCUGCAGAGUCAGGUGGCGGAGAAGAGGGGAAGAGAAAUAGUCAAGUUACCUUUCUCCAGGUUCAAGCACAUCCAACAAGAGUCCCCACCCCCCACCCGGUCUCCGGAUUCCAAGAAGAGAGCAGCAGCCACCCCACCACCGGCUCCUGGAUGCCGCUCAAAAUAUGAAGAGGAGUCCUUCAGUUUCAAGACUGGGUGCUUUUAUGCUUCUUCAGUCAGACAGAGUUGACCCGACUUUUCAUCGUCUGAUAGCUUUCUGCAGCACCCCGCAGAAUAAAUGUUGCUUGGAUUACCUGUGAUUUACAA